UAUACAGAAGACUUCUAAAAUCAACACUGAAGUGUUUCCCUUUCUCAGGAUUUGGCUGUGAAGCGUGACCAACCAAGCCAGGAGGAAGGGGAGGGAUCUUGGAGCUGGCCCACGAUCUGCAAAGAGGAAAGGAUGGCAGGGGAGGGGCAGAGAGGAGCGGCAUAUCUCAGCUCAGAAGCAGACGGAGGAGCUGCAGCUGAAGGCGCCAGGUGAAACAUCCGACACAUGUGGGAACCUUAGUGGUGAUGCAGGCAACAGCAGGUACCAGAAUUUCCAAGACACAGGAAUAGUAUCCAAAUCUCACAGAUGGAAGAUAGCAAUGGGAAGUCUGGCAGCUUGGGAGUCAGCUUGAGCAAACAUAUGGAAGUGGGAAGCACAGAGCAUGUGAAGGAAACUGUUUAUUACAGUUGGGAUAAAAUAAAAGGAAAGUUCACAUGAAGGAGCUGUGCGGCAUACUGAAGUAUGGAGGUUGCCUGAAGGAAAAGAAUUUAUGCCAACCGUUUGAUCAACAAGCUGAACUAGCAGUUUUUGUUUAUAGAAUAUCAUUUUUACAUGAAAUAAAAACUAAAAGUAUUAGUAUUUAAAGUUGGGUAUUUGGCACACACUUUCUCAAACGCAAAAUUAGCCUGUUGCUUCAAAAAAAAAUAAUAACUGACCUAUUUGUUGCCAAUGAUAAAAGUCAAGCCUUCAAACAAAAAUUAGAUACUUGGAAAAAUUGUAUCUGCCACCAAGAGUGUGACAGCUUUCCCAAUAUGCAGACGGUUAAUAAGACGGUAUUGUGUCCUUAAAAAUUUGUAGAGGGUAGAUCUCAUGUUAAGUGUUUUUAAUACACAAAAUAAAAAUAAAACACAAAGACACAAGGAAACUUUGGAGGUGAUGGACACGUUUAUCACCUGGAUUGUGGAGAUGGUAAAUGUAAUAUAAAGUUUAUUUGCAAUGUGGAAUAUGGAGCCAUAUGAGUGAAUGUUUCUCACUUUGUGGUAUUUAAAUCCAUUGGUCUUUCUUUCAUUUUGGAUCUUUCUUAUUCAUGCAUGAUUUGGAAAAUACUGGCUCAUGGAAAUAAAUGUUAGCACAUUUUAUAAUGCCAAAUACAGGAGUGUAUACAUUUGUCCAAACUCAACAAAUUCUAUACAUUGAUUAUAUGCAGGUUUUUGUAUACCAAUUAUAUCUCAAUAAAGCUGGAGGGGAAGAAGACUUUUC
rnacentral:lncRNA from 1 species